UGGGUCACACGUGGGUAAUCUGCCCUUCACUCUGGGACAAGCCCUGGAAACGGGGUCUAAUACCGGAUAACACUCUGUCCUGCAUGGGACGGGGUUAAAAGCUCCGGCGGUGAAGGAUGAGCCCGCGGCCUAUCAGCUUGUUGGUGGGGUAAUGGCCUACCAAGGCGACGACGGGUAGCCGGCCUGAGAGGGCGACCGGCCACACUGGGACUGAGACACGGCCCAGACUCCUACGGGAGGCAGCAGUGGGGAAUAUUGCACAAUGGGCGAAAGCCUGAUGCAGCGACGCCGCGUGAGGGAUGACGGCCUUCGGGUUGUAAACCUCUUUCAGCAGGGAAGAAGCGAAAGUGACGGUACCUGCAGAAGAAGCGCCGGCUAACUACGUGCCAGCAGCCGCGGUAAUACGUAGGGCGCAAGCGUUGUCCGGAAUUAUUGGGCGUAAAGAGCUCGUAGGCGGCUUGUCACGUCGGAUGUGAAAGCCCGGGGCUUAACCCCGGGUCUGCAUUCGAUACGGGCUAGCUAGAGUGUGGUAGGGGAGAUCGGAAUUCCUGGUGUAGCGGUGAAAUGCGCAGAUAUCAGGAGGAACACCGGUGGCGAAGGCGGAUCUCUGGGCCAUUACUGACGCUGAGGAGCGAAAGCGUGGGGAGCGAACAGGAUUAGAUACCCUGGUAGUCCACGCCGUAAACGUUGGGAACUAGGUGUUGGCGACAUUCCACGUCGUCGGUGCCGCAGCUAACGCAUUAAGUUCCCCGCCUGGGGAGUACGGCCGCAAGGCUAAAACUCAAAGGAAUUGACGGGGGGCCCGCACAAGCAGCGGAGCAUGUGGCUUAAUUCGACGCAACGCGAAGAACCUUACCAAGGCUUGACAUAUACCGGAAAAGCAUCAGAAGAUGGUGCCCCCCUUUGGUGGUCGGUAUACAGGUGGUGCAUGGCUGUCGUCAGCUCGUGUCGUGAGAUGUUGGGUUAAGUCCCGCAACGAGCGCAACCCUUGUUCUGUGUUGCCAGCAUGCCCUUCGGGGUGAUGGGGACUCACAGGAGACUGCCGGGGUCAACUCGGAGGAAGGUGGGGACGACGUCAAGUCAUCAUGCCCCUUAUGUCUUGGGCUGCACACGUGCUACAAUGGCCGGUACAAUGAGCUGCGAUGCCGCGAGGCGGAGCGAAUCUCAAAAAGCCGGUCUCAGUUCGGAUUGGGGUCUGCAACUCGCCCCCAUGAAGUCGGAGUUGCUAGUAAUCGCAGAUCAGCAUU
rnacentral:rRNA from 1 species